rnacentral:rRNA from 1 species
CCUACGGGUGGCAGCAGUGAGGAAUAUUGGUCAAUGGGCUUACGCCUGAACCAGCCAAGUCGCGUGAGGGAAGACUGCCCUAUGGGUUGUAAACUUCUUUUAUAAAGGAAUAAAACGAGGCACGUGUGCCUUUUUGCAUGUACUUUAUGAAUAAGGAUCGGCUAACUCCGUGCCAGCAGCCGCGGUAAUACGGAGGAUCCGAGCGUUAUCCGGAUUUAUUGGGUUUAAAGGGAGCGUAGAUGGGUUGUUAAGUCAGUUGUGAAAGUUUGCGGCUCAACCGUAAAAUUGCAAUUGAUACUGGCAGUCUUGAGUACAGUUGAGGUAGGCGGAAUUCGUGGUGUAGCGGUGAAGUGCUUAGAUAUCACGAAGAACCCCGAUUGCGAAGGCAGCUUACUAAACUGUGACUGACAUUGAUGCUCGAAAGUGUGGGUAUCAAACAGGAUUAGAUACCCGUGUAGUC